UACGAAGGGGGCUAGCGUUGUUCGGAAUUACUGGGCGUAAAGCGCACGUAGGCGGAUAUUUAAGUCAGGGGUGAAAUCCCGGGGCUCAACCCCGGAACUGCCUUUGAUACUGUUUGGCUUGAGUUUGGUAGAGGUUGGUGGAACUGCGAGUGUAGAGGUGAAAUUCGUAGAUAUUCGCAAGAACACCAGUGGCGAAGGCGGCCAACUGGACCAACACUGACGCUGAGGCGCGAAAGCGUGGGGAGCAAACAGG
rnacentral:rRNA from 1 species